AGUUACCAUCAGGUUAAGCUGGGGACUCUAGCGGGACUGCCACCGUAAGGUGAGAGGAAGGUCGGGGAUGACGUCAAAUCAGCACGGCCCUAUGUCCAGGGCUACACACGUGUUACAAUGGCCGGUACAAAGGGCAGCUACUUCGCGAGAAGAUGCUAAUCUCGAAAGCCGGUCUCAGUUCGGAUCGAAGUCUGCAACCCGACUUCGUGAAGCUGGAUUCGCUAGUAAUCGCGCAUCAGCCAUGGCGCGGUGAAUACGUUCCCGGGCCUU
rnacentral:rRNA from 1 species